UACGUAGGGGGCAAGCGUUGUCCGGAAUCAUUGGGCGUAAAGGGCUCGUAGGCGGUCUGUCGCGUCGGGAGUGAAAACUCAGGGCUUAACCCUGAGCCUGCUUCCGAUACGGGCAGACUAGAGGUAUGCAGGGGAGAACGGAAUUCCUGGUGUAGCGGUGAAAUGCGCAGAUAUCAGGAGGAACACCGGUGGCGAAGGCGGUUCUCUGGGCAUUACCUGACGCUGAGGAGCGAAAGUGUGGGGAGCGAACAGG
rnacentral:rRNA from 1 species